CCUUCAGCAGCCCACGCACCCAAAUUGCUCCCCACAAGAGAAACCCUAAUGUGCGAGGGAUAUAAAUUUGGCACAGCCGCACAGCCCAACCCCUCCGCAAAACUUAAGCGUCUUCUUCUCUCAAAUUUUCUUUGUCACUGGUAUAAGAUUUUUUCACCGAGAAAGCAUCUAACUCUCAUUCUCUUUGCUCUGUUAUGUUGAUGGUAGCAGAGGGAAUACGAAGAGAUGCAGAAUCGAAUCAAACCGAGUGAUGAGGGUGAUGAGGAUGAUGUGGGCGUCCUCCAGAGGAAGGGGCAGGGGAUGGAGAAUGUGAUUGAGAAAAGACGGUGGAGAAGAUUCUAUCAGCAAGCACUGCAUUUGCCGCAUCCGAGGGAUGGAAGGCAUCCCAAAA